rnacentral:tRNA from 1 species
CCUUCGAUAGCUCAGUUGGUAGAGCGGGGGACUGUAGACCCCUAGGUCACUGGUUCAAAUCCGGUUCGAAGGA